GGAAUAUUGGGCAAUGGAGGAAACUCUGACCCAGCGACGCCGCGUGCGGGAUGAAGGCCUUCGGGUUGUAAACCGCUUUCAGCAGGGAAGAAGCGAAAGUGACGGUACCUGCAGAAGAAGCACCGGCUAACUAUGUGCCAGCAGCCGCGGUGAUACAUAGGGUGCAAGCGUUGUCCGGAAUUAUUGGGCGUAAAGAGCUCGUAGGUGGUUCGUCACGUCGGAUGUGAAACUCUGGGGCUUAACCCCAGACCUGCAUUCGAUACGGGCGAGCUUGAGUAUGGUAGGGGAGUCUGGAAUUCCUGGUGUAGCGGUGGAAUGCGCAGAUAUCAGGAGGAACACCAAUGGUGAAGGCAGGACUCUGGGCCAUUACUGACACUGAGGAGCGAAAGCGUGGGGAGCGAACAGGAUUAGAUACCCUGGUAGUCCACGCCGUAAACGGUGGGCACUAGUUGUGGGGACCUUCCACGGUCUCUGCGACGCAGCUAACGCAUUAAGUGCCCCACCUGGGGAGUACGAUCGCAAGAUUAAAACUCAAAGGAAUUGACGG
rnacentral:rRNA from 1 species